GAUGAACGCUAGCGGCAGGCCUAAUACAUGCAAGUCGAGGGGUAUGGGUUGCUUGCCACCCAGAGACCGGCGCACGGGUGCGUAACGCGUAUGCAAUCUACCUUAAUCAGGGGGAUAGCCCGGAGAAAUCCGGAUUAACACCGCAUAACAUUGAGUUGUGGCAUCACAGUUCAAUCAAAUAUUUAUAGGAUUAAGAUGAGCAUGCGUGACAUUAGUUAGUUGGUGAGGUAACGGCUCACCAAGACCACGAUGUCUAGGGGAUCUGAGAGGAUGACCCCCCACACUGGUACUGAGACACGGACCAGACUCCUACGGGAGGCAGCAGUAAGGAAUAUUGGUCAAUGGGCGCAAGCCUGAACCAGCCAUGCCGCGUGCAGGAAGACGGCCCUAUGGGUUGUAAACUGCUUUUGUACCGGAAUAAACCUUCUCUUGCGAGAGAAGCCGAACGUACGGUAAGAAUAAGGAUCGGCUAACUCCGUG
rnacentral:rRNA from 1 species